UACGUAGGGUGCGAGCGUUAAUCGGAAUUACUGGGCGUAAAGCGUGCGCAGGCGGCUUCGCAAGUCAGGCGUGAAAUCCCCGGGCUUAACCUGGGAAUGGCGUCUGAAACUACGGAGCUGGAGUGUGACAGAGGGAGGUAGAAUUCCACGUGUAGCGGUGAAAUGCGUAGAUAUGUGGAGGAAUACCGAUGGCGAAGGCAGCCUCCUGGGCCAACACUGACGCUCAUGCACGAAAGCGUGGGGAGCAAACAGG
rnacentral:rRNA from 1 species